AUUGAACGCUGGCGGCAGGCCUAACACAUGCAAGUCGAACGAGUGGCGGACGGGUGAGUAAUGUCUGGGAAACUGCCCGAUGGAGGGGGAUAACUACUGGAAACGGUAGCUAAUACCGCAUACCAUCGGAUGUGCCCAGAUGGGAUUAGCUAGUAGGUGGGGUAACGGCUCACCUAGGCGACGAUCCCUAGCUGGUCUGAGAGGAUGACGAGCCGCUAUGGAGAUGAGACACGGUACAGACUACUACGGGAGGAAGCAGUGGGGAAUAUGGCACAAGGGGGGCAAGCGUGAUGCAGUCAUGCCGCGUGUAUGAAGAAGGCCGUCGGGUUGUAAAGUACUUUCAGCGAGGAGGCGUUACUCGCAGAAGAAGCACCGGCUAACUCAGUGCCAGCAGCAGCGGUAAUUC
rnacentral:rRNA from 1 species